UACGUAGGGCGCGAGCGUUGUCCGGAAUUAUUGGGCGUAAAGAGCCCGUAGGUGGCUUGUUGCGUCUGCCGUGAAAGCCCGUGGCUUAACUACGGGUCUGCGGUGGAUACGGGCAGGCUAGAGGCUGGUAGGGGCAAGCGGAAUUCCUGGUGUAGCGGUGAAAUGCGCAGAUAUCAGGAGGAACACCGGUGGCGAAGGCGGCUUGCUGGGCCAGUUCUGACGCUGAGGAGCGAAAGCGUGGGGAGCGAACAGG
rnacentral:rRNA from 1 species